AGCUCACUGGGCGUGGACGCCCCAGGAAGCCUCUUUCAGGCGCCCCGGGAGAGGGUAGCAGGCUGCCCAGACGAGCUCGGACUGCGCCCCACCGCGCCGCGGUUGCGGGGGCAGGGGAGCCGGGGAGCGACGCGGGAGGCUGGAAUUGAGGGCCCCGGCAGCCAGGGGCUCGAGCCCUGGAGAAGGCCUUCACUCCCCACAGGCGCUGUGGGCAGGGGGCCCUCCACACCACCCUCCCUGGCCGACCCUGCGGCACUCCUGCUGAUGUCACCAAACAGCAGCCCCUGUCAGCAUCUGGCAGGACACGGCCCAGGGGCGCAAGGGGCCCCCACUUUGCUACACAGCUGAACUGGUGGAGCCUGCGCCCCCGCAGAGUCCCCGGCCCAGCACGCACCUCUCUCCACAUCCUUGAACUUGAUGGUUCUGCGCCGGGGCAGCCGGGGGCCGGUGGCCACCUCAGCCAGAAGCGCGGGGCCACAGAAGUUCAGGCUGCUGCCCCGGUUCCUGAGCACCAACUUCAGCUCCUGGUUCUCCUGGAUGAGCUGCACCAGCCGCCGCAACUCCUCGUUCUCCUGUGCCAGCCGUUGGAUCUCCUGCCGCAGGCCCUCGUAGCUGCUGAGGAGGGACAUGCCCGGCAGCGGUGGGCAGCAGCUGCCGGUGGCCGGCAGGCUGGCCAGGGGGCAGCAGACCCCGCCAUUGUGAGGCCUGCUCACUGCAGUUUCCACUUGUUAGCUAGUAGGGCAGAGGAACCUGGGAAAGAUGAGAUGAGAAGACAAGGCCUUCCCCUCAACACCCAGCCAUGGGUCCAGGGGUCACUCUGGGAGGGGCAGGCUCCCACUGGCCUAGGGUGAGAUGCCAGCCAGAAGGACUAGCAGCUCCACAGCACGGCGGAGCAGGCAGACUCUCCUGGACACCGAGCGUGGAGUCGAGGAGGACAGUGGAGGUCUCAGUGAGGAGAAGUUAUCUAAGAGUUCAGACACAUUACCAGAAACGUGAAGGCUUAAAACAGCAGCUCUUCCAUCCCUAAAGGCCAGAAGUACAAACUGAGUCCUAUGGGCUAAAAGAACAGUUCCUUCCGGAGGGUCCUGGGGAGUUUGUUCCUUGCUGUGGCCAGUGGCCAGCACUCCCUGGCUUGAGGCCGCCUCACUCCACAACUCUGCCGCCAAGGUCACCUCUCCUGCUCUUCUGCACCCAAAUAACCCCUUUGCUGCUACCUUGAAAGGACCCUCAUGUUUCCAUAGGGGCCCCCUGGAUACUCCAGCACAUGCGCUCCUUCUCAAGACCCUUAGCUUAAUCAUAUCUGCAGAGUUCCUUCUGCCACAGAAGGUGACAUUCAUGCUCUCUGGGAAUCAGGACCCAGCUAUCUCUGGGGGUAUUUUUCAGCCUAUUAUGCCGGCUGAACGUGGGGCAGACUUGAAAGUGUUCCCCAGGUGCACCCUGAUUCAUCAGCAAAGGACAGCUCACCACUGGCUCAGCAGCUGAAGCACAACCUUUGCCCAGUUGGUGGCUGAACGCUCCGCUGACUCAGAUUUGACUUCUCAGCAGCCGGGCUUGACUGUAAGAAGGGGGAGGUGGGGGGCUGAGUAGUGACGUCAGAAGUUGCGCACCAUGGAGGAACAGACUCCACAGAACCGCUCCCAACGAGCCCCAGAACUAAUGAAAUAAUAGCAACAGCAACAAGGGCAAGUAGGAGCCCGCUGGUCACAGCCCAGAGUUUCUGAAACAGAUCAAUAACUCUGCCAACUGGCCGCUGACCCCUCUUAGGAUGGGCCACCACUGAGAUGCAUCCGUGCUGUCCAGGGGGUCUGGGGCAAGGGCCAGAUUCACUGUGAAGUCACGAGGCUCAGGAUCCCUCCAGGUCAGGGCCUCAGCAGAGUGUUCACAGGAUUGCACACUGUAAAAUUUCCAAAAGCAUGUCAUCACAGUGAGGUUAAUUCUGUCUUUUUCCACUGCACCCGGCAUUGUGUCAUUUCUUCCCCUGCUGUUGGGGACAGGUGGGGGCAUGGUGGGCUCUGCUCAGGCAGGCUAAGGCAGGAGCAGCCGCUCCCUUGUGUCGUUAGGGAUCGCUGUUGUUCUGGUACAGAAGUGGCUCCCAGGAACACAGCCGCCCCUCUGAGCUGUGCAUCACCAACAUCGGGCUAAUGGAGUUGGCUAAUAUCUUCAAUUCAAAAAACAUCUAAAAUGUGGUAAACAGGCCAUAAGGCCCUGAAAUCUUAGGGCUCAUAUGUAAAAGAAAUCUGAUAGAGGUUUUCUCAAAUUUAACAAUUCUGACAAUGUACACAAUGUUGACAAAGGUAAUAUUAGAUAAUAUUAGAUAAAGCUACCAUCUGAUAGCUCAGAUGGUAAAGAAUCUGCCUGCAACGCAGGAGACCAGGAUUCGAUCCUUGGGUCGGGAAGAUCCCUUGGAGAAGGGAAAGGCUACUCACUCCAGUAUUCUAGCCUGGAGAAUUCCAUGGGGUCACAAAGAGUCUAACACAACUGAACAACUUUCACUUUCUUGUAUUCUUGCCUGGAGAAUUUCAUGGGCAGAGGAGCCUUGCAGGCUACAGCCCAUGGGGUUGCAGAAUUGGACGCGACUAAGCAACUAACAAACACAGCUAAAGGGAGAUGAUUGGAUGGCAUCAUCGACUCAAUGGACAUGCGUCUGAGCAAAUUCCAGGAGAUGGUGAAGGACAGGGAAGCCUGGCCUGCUGCAGUCCAUGAGGUUGCAAAGAGUUGGACAUGACUUAGUGACUGAACAAGCUAAAGGGGCUGUUACCUGAAAACAACUUUACUCCUAAGCUAGUUAUAAAAAUAAUCUUUGAUUAAACAUGUUAGAGGGGAGACUAAACUAUCCUCUCUCUAUAUAUAGAAGGGGACAUCAUGAAAGUGUCACCAUCUUAAAGAGGUCAUCAGAUUUUGCAUCCGAAAAGUACAGGGGAAACGUUAGAGAAAUAUAUCAGGAAGUUAAUUCAGGA